CAAUUAAGAAGGCUCAAUUGAAGGACUUUUGGGACCAGAUUUCUGACCAGAGUUUUGAUUCCAGGCUCAGAACCGUCUUUGACAUGGUUGAUAAAGAUGCAGAUGGAAGAAUCACCGAGGAAGAAAUUAAAGAGAUCAUCUGCCUUAGUGCCACAACAAACAAACUCUCAAACAUACAGCAGCAGGCUAAAGAAUAUGCAGCUUUGAUCAUGGAAGAACUAGACCCUGAAGAGACAGGAUUUAUCAUGGUAUUUACAUCAUCCUAUUUCAGAUCAUU